UUCAUGACUAGUUUCCAUGUCCUUGGAGUGAAAUUUCUGUGAAUCUGCAUUGAGAAUUAGAUUUGAUAUAAUCUUGCUUGGUUUGACUUGAGUACUAGCUCACAAAACUUCAACCUAAGGCAAAUUUUCUAAGUUUAUGAUAGUUAUGUGUGUGUAUUGAUGCACAAAAAUGCAUUGAUGUGCAUUCUUGUAGGAGCUUAUUCAACUCUGACUUAUAACAUGUUACAGAGUGGAUGGUUCAGAUAAAGAAUCAAAGAUUUCAGAUGAUGAUUAUGGCAAGACGUUACUGCUUGUGACGAGUUCUCCACUUAGAUUUGAUCGAUAACUCUAACCACACAAUAAUAGUGCUGAAUUGAGAUAGAAAUUUAAUGAUGCUUAAGAUCAAUAAUGGUGACGACGAGAGGCUCCAUCUAAGUCGACGAAGAAGACAAUAUAUAUUAGAGUUCAUGAACUCAACGUCGGUUUAGUAGUUUCAACCUAUAGAGGAAAAAUAAAAACAGAUCAAAGAUAAUCAAAUAAAAACCAAUCGUUGGAGAGAGAUUUGUUUACCCCUUCACGUGGAUGCUAUUAUUAAAAGACGGCUACGUCUAUGAAUUUGAUGAGCUAACAGCUGAAGGCGACGAACAGAUCACGACUAUGACUCUUUUGAUGAGCUAAGAACGGAAGAAGGUGACUAUAGCUUGUUCAAUAUAUAAUUUUGAGAAGAUGUGGGGAUGCUAAAUCCUAUUUUUAUUUUUAUUAUUAUCCACAAAUUUUAUUUGAGUAAAUCUUAUUAA
rnacentral:sRNA from 1 species